GGCACUGCUCUCACCUCUCAGUCCCCACACUCUUAAACGGGGUUGCAAUUGGAUCCAUGGUUUGGUUUCUUUCUUCUCUGUUUUCUCAUGUACCCACUUCCACACUUUGAAUUCCAAGCCGUAAUCUUCUUUAAAGUUGUGUUUUUUCCUAUUCAUUUAUUCUAUUAUUUCGGUACCUUCUUGUUUCUGUUUCCUUUUUAACUAUUCUCUUUGUUAGGGUGUCAUAAAGCUGGAGGCAUGAAUGAAGGGUUAUCUCUCAAUUUCAGUCCCAGUAUGGUUCUUCUCCAGGUGUUUUUGUUGCUAUUAAGUCUGAAUGAAAAUCAAUAUAUUAGAGGAUCUACAUUGAUGGACAGACGGUUGGAUGCUUUUCUUCCAGAGAUCUCACCAAAUGCAGCUCCUCAGCCUUUUCUUCCUAUUCUUGCACCUUCUCCAUUGCAACCUUUCACCAACAGUUCUAUACCAAAAUUAUCAGGACUCUGUACGUUGAACUUCACUGCUGCUGAAAGCUUGAUGAGCAUGACAUCAAUUGAUUGCUGGGCCUUUUUUGCACCAUUGCUGGCUAAUGUUAUAUGUUGUCCACAGUUAGAAGCCACCCUUGCAAUUCUUAUUGGUCAAUCCAGUAAAGAGACUAAAGUGCUUGCUUUAAAUGGAACUAUUUCCAAGCAUUGCCUUUCGGACAUUGAGCAAAUUUUGAUAGGUCAGGGCGCUGCAGCUAAUGUUAAGAGAAUAUGCUCAAUUCAUCCCUCAAAUCUCACUGAAGGGUCUUGCCCAGUUAAAGAUGUGAAUGAAUUUGAGAGCACUGUGGAUUCAUCGAAGCUUCUUGCUGCAUGCGAGAAGAUUGAUCCUGUGAAAGAAUGUUGUGACCAAGUAUGUCAAAAUGCUAUAUCAGAAGCUGCUACACGAAUUGCUCUAAAAGCUUCUGAAAUCUUGAGCAUGGAUAGGACCCAUGGUUUACCUCAGCACUCAACUAGUGUUAAUGAUUGUAAAAACAUUGUUCUCCGAUGGUUGGCAAGUAAACUUGAUCCUUCUCAUGCAAAGGAGGUUCUCAGAGGACUAUCUAAUUGCAAUGUCAAUAAAGUUUGCCCUCUGGUUUUCCCUGACAUGAGCCAUGUUGCAAAGGGCUGCGGGAGUGUGAUAAGUAACACCACAGGAUGCUGUAGUGCCAUGGAUAGCUAUGUGUCUCACUUGCAGAAACAGAGCCUCAUAACCAACUUGCAAGCGUUGGAUUGUGCUAGAACUCUUGGAAUGAAGUUACAGAAGUCAAAUAUUACCAGAGAUGUUUAUAGCCUUUGUCACAUAAGCCUCAAGGAUUUCUCGCUCCAAGUUGCAAAGCAAGGUAUGGAUACUUUAUGGAACCGUAGUCUGGAUGCCUUCUACCAAGCUUGCCUUCUGAUGCAACACUUGAUAAGUCAUCUGGAAUCAGCUUUAUUUGUGAUCUGAAUGACAAUAUUCCUGCUCCAUGGCCCUCUUCGUCUCAAUUAUCAGCAUCAUCAUGCAAUAAAACUGUGAAAAUUCCAGCACUUCCGGCAGCUGCAUCUACUCAAAGUGGCCUUUAUAGUGAAGAUCUGGUAUUUUAUGUGCUGUUUGCUGCCUCCCUUGUUACCAUGAUGCUCUUAUAGACUUGUAGUGUCUUAUUCAACGCAAUCUUACUUCCUAUAUACAAUGAGAAGGUUUCCAUGCAUGAUACAUUUUCACUAGUUCUUGUAGAACGAGGGUCCUCAGAUUGAACUCAUGCCAAAAGAGGAUUCAAACAUCUGACCAAUGUUAAUCCAAGUGUACCAGGUAGUCUUCAAGCCUCAACCUGAUGUGAAUUUAAGUUUGUCUCUCUGAUUGUAUUAAUUCAUGAUUCUUGCUUGCUUGUGUAAUGAUUUUCUUUUGUAAAGGAAUACUGGAAAAUCAAAAUAUGGCUUUUGUAGAAGAAUUGAAAAAAAAAAUCAAAAUAUAAUAUUGUAUUUCACUA